GACGAACGCUGGCGGCGUGCCUAAUACAUGCAAGUCGAGCGAAUCAAUAGGAGCUUGCUCCUGAUGGUUAGCGGCGGACGGGUGAGUAACACGUGGGCAACCUGCCUGUAAGACUGGGAUAACACCGGGAAACCGGUGCUAAUACCGGAUAAUCCUUUUCCUCUCAUGAGGAAAAGCUGAAAGUCGGUUUCGGCUGACACUUACAGAUGGGCCCGCGGCGCAUUAGCUAGUGGGUGAGGUAACGACUAACCAAGGCGACGAUACGUAGCCGACUGCAGAGGGUGAUCGGCUACACUGGGACUGAGAAACGGCCCAGACUCAUACGGGAGGCAGCAGUAGGGAAUCUUCCACAAUGGACGAAAGUCUGAUGGAGCAACGCCGCGUGAGCGAUGAAGGCCUUCGGGUCGUAAAGCUCUGUUGUUAGGGAAGAACAAGUACCGGAGUAACUGCCGGUACCUUGACGGUACCUAACCAGAAAGCCACGGCUAACUACGUGCCAGCCGCCGCGGUAA
rnacentral:rRNA from 1 species